GUUGUGCAUUUAUCACAUCCAUAAACCUCACUGAAACACGUCCAUUUCCUGGAGAGGGGAAAUCAGUGCUCCACACAGCGGAGGUGACGCUCAAGCCCCCCGAGCGGGAGCGGGGCACCCACCGUGGAGCCAGCCUGGAGACCUGGCUCUGGCACCGUGUCCCUGCCCAUGGCACCGGGGCCGGCUGGGAAGUGCCAGCACCUCCCCUGCGUCUCUGCAGCCGCUCCCAGCUCGAGGCCUGCAGCCCCCGGAGGGCGGAGAGGGCUCGGUGUACCUUGUCCCUGCAAACCACCCUCGGGACUGUGCGCGGGGGCAGCAGGCUCUGCCCCUCCUCCUCAUCGGCCAGGUCCCCUCUGGCGGGGGGUUUAACCCUGGGCGCUGUGCGGCGCCGGGGGAUCCCUGCGGGAGCGGCGGGCACAGCCCCGGGCAGCAGCGUCUGCCCUGUCCCGGGCAGGAGGGACAGCUCCGGUGCCAUAUGGCACCCGCUGGGACGGGCACCGCCGGGCCAGGUGACAGAUGGCAGGUGGAGCAGGGCUGCUCCUCCCGGCGGCACAGCCGUGCCAGGCGCAGCGGCCCAUUCCAGCCGGGAGAGGGGACGGGGGGAUGCUGCAGGCCCCGGACAGAGAGCCCUGCUGCCGGGGAAUCGGCUCCUGCCCGGUGCAGGGCUACUCACACUGCACAGGGACUGAAACACGGAGUGCACAGCCCGGCGCCUCCUGGGGCUUGGGAAUGGGGGAUGGGAUGGAAUCCUGCCGAGGUUGAAGGCUCGUGCUCCAGCACAGCUCAGACAGGACAGAGCAGGGGUUUGCUGUUGGUCACUUGUCCACACCAGCCCAGGGACAAGGGGUGGGAGCAGCUCCCCGGCCGCGCCCCCUGCUCCCCUCCUCCUUUUCCCUGUUUUCCUGCUGCAGGGAUUGCACAGACACUGCUUCCAUCUCACCGUUCAUUAUCUCUGUCUCCUGGAACAGCAAACAGGGAAAUGUGAUUAAAGCCCUGUAGCAGGGAGCUUAUCAGCCUGUGGGAAGGCCAUGAGUUCCCUCCUGCCAGGAGAGCAUCCCUGGCGCGGCCGCGGUGUCCUGUGACUCCUGCUGCCUUCAGCCCACGAUCUUGGAGCGGCCCCGAGGUGCUGGGGUGGACGGGAGGGACAGCGCUGUCACCGUGUGAAGGAGAGCGGGUCAGAGCCGGCGGCGUCAGGCUCUCACACUGACCUUAUUGGCAGCACUGCGCUGGUGAAGGCGAAGAACAUCCGCCCUGACAGGGUGUUUUGGAGCUGCCGCUGGUCCAGGAGAAGCUGGGCGCUGUAACUGUUUGCCACAGGGAUUUUCUCGGUGUUGUCCGUGAGGGUCACCCUUCCUGCGCCCAUGGAAGGAGCCUCUUGCUGGCACCGGGAAUAACAGCUCUGAGCUGUGCAGCUCCUUGUCCCUCUUCAAAGGAGCCAGAAUUCCCUGUCUCCACCCCCAGACACCACAUAAAAUACCUGCUUUUUCCAUCCCGCA